UGGGGAAUAUUGCACAAUGGGCGAAAGCCUGAUGCAGCGACGCCGCGUGAGGGAUGACGGCCUUCGGGUUGUAAACCUCUUUCAGUAGGGACGAAGCGCAAGUGACGGUACCUGCAGAAGAAGCACCGGCUAACUACGUGCCAGCAGCCGCGGUAAUACGUAGGGUGCGAGCGUUGUCCGGAAUUACUGGGCGUAAAGAGCUCGUAGGCGGUUUGUCAAGUCGUCUGUGAAAUCCUAGGGCUUAACCCUGGACGUGCAGGCGAUACGGGCUGACUUGAGUACUACAGGGGAGACUGGAAUUUCUGGUGUAGCGGUGGAAUGCACAGAUAUCAGGAAGAACACCGAUGGCGAAGGCAGGUCUCUGGGUAGUAACUGACGCUGAGGAGCGAAAGCAUGGGUAGCGAACAGG
rnacentral:rRNA from 1 species